rnacentral:rRNA from 1 species
UGAGUAACACGUGGGUAACCUGCCCUAAAGUCUGGGAUACCACUUGGAAACAGGUGCUAAUACCGGAUAACAACAAUAGCUGCAUGGCUAUUGCUUAAAAGGCGGCGAAAGCUGUCGCUAAAGGAUGGACCCGCGGUGCGUUAGCUAGUUGGUAAGGUAAUGGCUUACCAAGGCGACGAUGCAUAGCCGAGUUGAGAGACUGAUCGGCCACAUUGGGACUGAGACACGGCCCAAACCCCUACGGGAGGCAGCAG